rnacentral:rRNA from 1 species
GAUGAACGCUGGCGGCGUGCCUAAUACAUGCAAGUCGAGCGAACGGACGAGAAGCUUGCUUCUCUGACGUUAGCGGCGGACGGGUGAGUAACACGUGGAUAACCUACCUAUAAGACUGGGAUAACUUCGGGAAACCGGAGCUAAUACCGGAUAAUAUUUUGAACCGCAUGGUUCAAUAGUGAAAGACGGUCUUGCUGUCACUUAUAGAUGGAUCCGCGCUGCAUUAGCUAGUUGGUAAGGUAACGGCUUACCAAGGCAACGAUGCAUAGCCGACCUGAGAGGGGGAUCGGCCAACAUGGAAAGUGAGCACGGUCCAGACUCCUAAGGGAGGCAGCAGUAGGGAAUCUUCCGCAAUGGGCGAAAGCCUGACGGAGCAACGGCGCGUGAGUGAUGGAGGUCUUCGGAUCGGAAAAACCUGUUAUUAGGGAAGAACAUAUGUGGAAGGAAACGUGGACAGCUUGACGGUAACUAAUCAGGAAGCCACGGCUAACUACGUG